rnacentral:rRNA from 1 species
UAAUACGUAGGGUGCAAGCGUUAAUCGGAAUUACUGGGCGUAAAGCGUGCGCAGGCGGUUUUGUAAGACAGAGGUGAAAUCCCCGGGCUCAACCUGGGAACUGCCUUUGUGACUGCAAGGCUGGAGUGCGGCAGAGGGGGAUGGAAUUCCGCGUGUAGCAGUGAAAUGCGUAGAUAUGCGGAGGAACACCGAUGGCGAAGGCAAUCCCCUGGGCCUGCACUGACGCUCAUGCACGAAAAGCGUGGGGAGCAAACAGGAUUAGAUACCCUGGUAGUCCACGCCCUAAACGAUGUCAACUGGUUGUUGGGUCUUCACUGACUCAGUAACGC